rnacentral:rRNA from 1 species
AUACGGAGGGUGCAAGCGUUACUCGGAAUCACUGGGCGUAAAGCGCGCGCAGGCGGCUUGAUAAGUUGGAUGUGAAAGCCUACGGCUCAACCGUAGAACUGCAUCCAAAACUGUCAAGCUAGAGUCUGGGAGGGGAAGAUGGAAUUAGUUGUGUAGGGGUAAAAUCCGUAGAGAUAACUAGGAAUACCAAAAGCGAAGGCGAUCUUCUGGAACAGUUCUGACGCUGAGGCGCGAAAGCGUGGGGAGCAAACAGGAUUAGAAACCCUAGUAGUCC